rnacentral:lncRNA from 1 species
GGUGAAUAUAUUGGUGGAAAUAGCAGUUAUUGGUAUGACUAAAUUGCUGUAAGGAAGAGACCGAUAAGGUGAAGGAGGAGAUUAUAGUUUCCUUGUGUGUUCAGAUAUUGGAAAUAGAGACGAUACAUUCAGGAGGUAAUUGAUUGUGUGACCCUAACGUGAAUGCUUAAGCAACUAGUCAUUCCCCAUGAUUGAAUCCCCCUAUACGGGUUUAUUCUAGGAGGUUUCUUCCGGAAUAAGUAAAACGAGCAAUCACAGUAGUUUUUUUCAAAGCGUUCAAAUCAUUUAUUUUUUUAUUUUAUUUUAUCAAUGUUUAUUUCUUGAAUAUUUUUGCACUUUUUUGGCUCUAAAUUGUCUAUAAUCAUGCUCUAGCAAGUAGAUACUAAAGAAUUUUCUUAAUCAAAUAUCACUUGUUAUAAAAUAAAAGCAUGUAGUGAAAUUUGGA